rnacentral:misc_RNA from 1 species
UACGGAGGGGGCUAGCGUUGUUCGGAAUUACUGGGCGUAAAGAGCGUGUAGGUGGCUUAUUAAGUCAGAGGUGAAAUCCCCGGGCUCAACCUGGGAACUGCCUUUGAUACUGAUAGGCUAGAGUCCGGGAGAGGGUAGUGGAAUUCCCAGUGUAGAGGUGAAAUUCGUAGAUAUUGGGAAGAACACCAGUGGCGAAGGCGGCUACCUGGACCGGUACUGACACUGAGACGCGAAAGCGUGGGGAGCAAACAGG